UGACCUCGGAUCAGGUAGGAAUACCCGCUGAACUUAAGCAUAUCAAUAAGCGGAGGAAAAGAAACCAACAGGGAUUGCCCUAGUAACGGCGAGUGAAGCGGCAACAGCUCAAAUUUGAAAUCUGGCUACUUUGUAGUCCGAGUUGUAAUUUGUAGAGGAUGCUUUUGGUGAAGUGCUUUCUGAGUUCCCUGGAACGGGACGCCAGAGAGGGUGAGAGCCCCGUACAGUUAGCAACUGAUCCUUUGUAUAGCUCCUUCGACGAGUCGAGUAGUUUGGGAAUGCUGCUCUAAAUGGGAGGUAUAUCUCUUCUAAAGCUAAAUAUAGGCUAGAGACCGAUAGCGCACAAGUAGAGUGAUCGAAAGAUGAAAAGCACUUUGAAAAGAGAGUUAAACAGCACGUGAAAUUGUUGAAAGGGAAGCGCCUAUGACCAGACUUGUCUCUAUCAGUUUUGGUAGUUUUCGGACUGCUUUACUCUGUUAGUACAGGCCAACAUCAGUUUGUUGUCGGGGAGAAAGGCUUAGGGAAUGUGGC
rnacentral:rRNA from 1 species